GUGACCUCACCUCACUGGCUAAAGACGCCUCCCUGGGACCAAUCAGAGAGUUGCGUCCGGAACAAGUGAAGAACGUGGAGGUCAGCGAGGUGCGAAACAUUUGUUUCAGAGACUUUGUCGAGUCUCUGAAGAAGAUCAAGAGGAGCGUCCGUCCUCAGACUCUGGAUCUCUACGUCCGCUGGAACAGAGACUACGGAGACACCGCGACCGUAUGAACACAAACCGACUUCUUCCAAAAACCAGUCGGACAACGUCAAGUUUGUGUACUUUUGCACAAAUGUUUCUACAAAAUAGACUCCUCUUUACCUUCUGCUUUGUCUGAUGUCCAAAGACAUCUUUAACUGACUGAAGUUGUUGUAGCGGAUAAAAAAAACGAAACAGUGACUUUUUCUUUUUCGGACUCUUUGUUCGGUGUUUUUUCCUUUUGGAGCUCUGAUGUUUUUCAGCAGGUGAAACCAGUUCAUGAUCCCAGCUGGACUCAGAAAACGUAUUUAUUUCUCUCCAAGUUUAACGUGAUGUAGCUUUUCAACCUCAAAAUAGAAGUCGAUCUAAUAGUGCACUGACUUUAACAGGGAGAACGGCGUCUAUCCCACAGAGCGCCGUGAAACUGAGCGUACGACUUUACGACAACACGUCGCACACCAGCCCUCAAUAAAACAU